CCUACGGGUGGCAGCAGUGGGGGAUAUUGCACAAUGGGGGGAACCCUGAUGCAGCGACGCCGCGUGGGUGAAGGAGUAUUUCGGUAUGUAAAGCCCUAUCGGCAGGGAAGAAUUUCGACGGUACCUGACUAAGAAGCCCCGGCUAACUACGUGCCAGCAGCCGCGGUAAUACGUAGGGGGCAAGCGUUGUUCGGAAUUACUGGGCGUAAAGGGAGCGUAGGCGGGAGAUUAAGUUAAGAGUGAAAGCCUUGGGCUCAACCCAAGAAAUGCUCUUAAUACUGGUUUUCUAGAGUGUGGGAGAGGUAAGUGGAAUUCCUAGUGUAGCGGUAGAAUGCGUAGAGAUUAGGAGGAACAUCAGAGGCGAAGGCGGCUUACUGGACCAUAACUGACGCUGAGGCUCGAAAGCGUGGGGAGCGAACAGGAUUAGAUACCCCAGUAGUC
rnacentral:rRNA from 1 species